rnacentral:sRNA from 1 species
AUUAAUCAAAUUAGUAUUUGACUUUUUAAUUCUUAAAAAGAUAAAUUAAUUUACUCUUUAAAAUUUUAUUUCUAAUGGCAUACCUAUGUAAUUACUUACAAAAAUUAAGGUUAUAUUUAAAAUGUACUUCCCAAAUAAUAUAGUAGGAUAUU